UACGGAGGGUGCAAGCGUUAAUCGGAAUUACUGGGCGUAAAGCGUGCGCAGGCGGUUUGUUAAGUCUGCUGUGAAAUCCCCGAGCUCAGCUUGGGAAUUGCAGUGGAUACUGGCAGGCUGGAGUAUGGUAGAGGAAGGUGGAAUUCCCGGUGUAGCAGUGAAAUGCGUAGAGAUCGGGAGGAACACCAGUGGCGAAGGCGGCCUUCUGGACCAAUACUGACGCUCAUGCACGAAAGCGUGGGGAGCAAACAGG
rnacentral:rRNA from 1 species